CAUCACAUUACCAUGCUUAAAUGUAGGUGAGGUUCUAAAACGGCUCUAUUCAUUCUUAAAAUAAUAUUCUAUGGGCAGAAGAGGAUCAUGGGUCCCGGUAUAAGGUUCUCUUUAUUUAAUAUUAUGUUUGGUUAAAGAUCUGAUAACAUUGUGUAUAAAAUAUGCAUAACAAUAACUAGAAAAGGGGCAGAUAUUUCAGUGAAAUCUUCAAGAAAGUUAGGAUGCAUAUGCUAUUCAUGUGGUCAACCAAGACAUUUUAAUUGUGAAAUUUAAAACUUAAAAACAACAAUCAUACAACUUGCUAGCUGUCAAAUGAUUAAGUACACUAGAGAUCAAGUAUUUUGCAGAACCCAAGAGUGACCCUCUCAUCCUGAUUCGCCACAAGACAGCUUCCCCCAUUUCUGGUGCAAAGGUAACUCUUGCUUUGUAAGUGUUGAGAGGAAAGUCUGAACACUGACAGGCUAAACUUUUAACAUUGCUUGUAAAAUUACUUUAUAUGAAGAUAUUUGAAUAUAUGUAGAAUAAUGUUUGGUUGAUUUAAGGGAAUAGCAAUAAGAAAUUAAAGUCAAAUACAAUCAGAAGGUCUCAGUUCACUAGCUAGGUCAACGGAGAACCAGUAAAAUGCAAUAACAAAAAGAAAUAGUUGAGAUUAAAUCCAAAAUGUGUGCCCCUAACUAAACCGAAUGAGUCUUGUCCUGUCCACAACACUUAGUUGAUAGAAAACAAUUUAGUUUUUAAAUUAAAAUGUCUAAUUGUUAUUAUUGCACAUGAGCAGAAGACAGUAAUACUAUAGAACUCUCUUCCUCCUUAAUGGACUCUCCUGUAGCACACAUUCAGAGAACUAGUGACGUACAAGAAUAAAGAUUUUUCCAUGACAAAAAAAAGAAAUAGGUUUGGUAAAAUCCUUGAUCUGAGUGAAAAACAGACAGGAUGGCCAGCAGAGCUGCAGGUUGAACACUCAACGUUGUGCUAAUGUACAGUAAAAUGGCGACGUAAGUGCUUUUUUUUAACUCAAAGAAAGAAUAUUUCAGAAAUGUAUUUAUUGUUUGAGGCAUCAUUUCAUCAAAAGUUAACCUGUGCUAUCCGUUGAUUGGUAUCCCUACCACUCUGGUCCAACCAUUUCUAUAGAGUAUGAGAACAAACACUUCAAGGAAAAAAAAAAGUUGACUCCUGGGAUUUUUCGUUUUAAGAGAUGACUGCUACAUUAAAACUGCACAGUUUUGUGCAACACCAGAAAAGGCUGAGGAUUUCCUUUACACUCUGUUCUGCUUGUUGUUUGGGAUGAUGAAUUGCUUUUCACAUGUUCUGCCUCAUUAUUGGUGCUGAUUGGCAGAGUCUGGGUCCAAUAACAUGGCAGCGUGAGUCAUUAAAACACUGUAGGUUGCAGUGAGGUUUUCUGGGGGAUGGGGAGGUCUCUGGCAAUGGCAGAGUCUGUCACACAAGCCUGUGGUUAGGGCUCUGUCUGUUGCCCCUCAGACAGGCCCAUUCACUGCUGACACCUCUGUGGACUGGACCUGUGUUGGGUCCUCUCUGGAGGGGAGAGAAAGGGAGCAGGUUGGGACGUUAUGAGAAUCCAACAUUUCAGACCAACACUCCUUUUGGCAGGAUAGAGUUCACAGUAAAUGUUUCUACAGGCUCAAAACCUUGGCAACAAGCACUGCUAUUGUUCAAUGUCCAGAUGUUUUUGUGUUGUUUGAAGGAAACACUGGUUUCAAAGUUAUUUUUAGCCCUGCUUUGACCAGGCAGGGUCCUAAACAAACACAAACCUGCACUUUAAUUGGUCACAUGGUUGCAAUUACUGCCGCAAAGUCAAUUUUUAUUAAUAUUUAAAUGUUGAAUGUAACUACUACACAGGCCAACUACAUGAGCUGCCUUAAAACAUGUCAGAAAAGGUAAGGGUGGGGGGAGGAGGGGAAAUGAGAUGGGAAGUUCUUCUCACCCUCCCAACUCCCAUCUCAGCCCCCCCCCAAGGGAGAGAGAA
ensembl:lncRNA